CGAUGGUAAAAAAAUAACGACAAUUUUCAAAAAAGUAAGAAUAAGAGGGAACUAACAACAAGCAAGCAACACAGUCAAAGCCAAAAUGGCUUAAUAAACAUGUUUACUUGAGUAAUGAGAGAAACUUGAUCAAAUAGAUCACCCCAAGCAAAAAAUAAAAAUCUCAACUUAAGCUGCAAAGGACAAAAAACGGAAUCACAAAAUCAUAUGAAGUUAACUGAUGUAAG
rnacentral:lncRNA from 1 species